AGAAUCAACGCUGGCGGCGUGCCUAACACAUGCAAGUCGAACGAGAAAGUGGAGCAAUCCAUGAGUAAAGUGGCGCACGGGUGAGUAACACGUGACUAACCUACCCUUGAGUGGGGGAUAACCUAGGGAAACCUGGGCUAAUACCGCAUAAUACCUUCGGGUCAAAGGAGCAAUUCGCUUUAGGAGGGGUCGCGGCCGAUUAGUUAGUUGGCGGGGUAAUGGCCCACCAAGACUGUGAUCGGUAU
rnacentral:rRNA from 1 species